AUUGAACGCUGGCGGCAUGCUUUACACAUGCAAGUCGAACGGCAGCGCGGGGCAACCUGGCGGCGAGUGGCGAACGGGUGAAUAAUACAUCGGAACGUACCCAGAAGUGGGGGAUAACGUAGCGAAAGUUACGCUAAUACCGCAUACGUUCUACGGAAGAAAGUGGGGGACCUUCGGGCCUCAUGCUUUUGGAGCGGCCGAUGUCUGAUUAGCUAGUUGGUGAGGUAAAGGCUCACCAAGGCGACGAUCAGUAGCUGGUCUGAGAGGACGACCAGCCAAACUGGGCAUGAGACACGGCCCAGACUCCUGCGGGAGGAAGCAGUGGGGAAUUUGGGACAAUGUGCGCAAGCCUUAUCCAGCAAUGACGCGUGAGUGAAGAAGGCCUUCGGGUUGUAAAGCUCUUUUGUCAGGGAAGAAACGGCUGAGGUUAAUACCUUUGGCUAAUGACGGUACCUGAAGAAUAAGCACCGGCUAACUACGUGCCAGCAGCCGCCGUAACAC
rnacentral:rRNA from 1 species